ACUUUGUGAAGCAGCUUCAAGGACUUGGCAGAGAUGAGGUGAAGCAAACAGCAUUCUAAAGUAAUGGCAAAGAAACAACUAAAAAAAUGGACAGUGUUUCUAGUUGAAAUCAGAAAGCUGAUGACAAAUAAGACCUCUGCUGGGACAAAGGAUUGUUGGUAUCAUUUGUGGAGCUAUGACACGUAUACACCAUGGGAAAAUAGCUGAAGCCAUCAAAGCGUGGACACCGCUGGCUGGAGGAUCUUAUCAGUCACCUUGGCAGCCCAGGUGUGGUCAUCACCUACCUGUGCCCUGAGUCUAUCUCAGAAAGAGGAAGACAGCCAGGAGUGAUUCUUCUGCCAGUUCUGGAAUGGACUUGACCUAGGUUCUGUUGGACAUAACUAGCAAUUGAACUUUUCUUCCCCAGUUCCCCACGCAGUGGGAAGUAAAAGGGCAUAGUUUUCUCUGAGGUCAUUUUUUGAGUCAAUAAAUCAGAUUGAUUCAGAGCUUUUCGAUGGAAUUUUGAGAUCUGCUUAUUAAGGACUUAACGCUGAUAACAGAAGCCAAGUAGAUUAAUAAGAGUUCGCUACCUAAGCCCAAGCCAGUGCUUCUCAAACUUUAAUGCAAAUGAAUCACCUGGGACAUCUAUUGAAAUACAGAUUUGGCUUCAACAGGGCUAGGGUAGGGCUCCCAGGUGAAGCUGAUGCUCCUGGGCCAUGGUCAGCAAUUUAGCAGGAAGAGCAGAAAGCAAUCAUUCUCAAACUUGGGUGCUUAUGAGAAUCACCUGGGAAGUUAAAAAGCUAUAGAUGCCAGGGUCCUACGCCCAGAAAGUCUGCUUUAAUUGGUCUUGUGCAUCCUGGGCAUUAGGAUUCUAGUGUGUGGCAGAAUUUGAAAUGGCAACCCACUCCAGUAUUCUUGCCUGGAGAAUCCCAUGGACGGAGGAGCCUGGUAAGCUACAGUCCACAGGAUCACAAAGAGUCGGACACAACUGAGCGACUUUACCUCACUUCUAACAAGCCCAUUUCCAGUUGUUUGCUGGUUCCCUCCUGAUCCUUUUCCUGGGAGAAGCAGCUACAGUUCAGGGUAACUGGUAGCCGGGGGCAGGUGCCUGAUCCAUCUUGCUGCUCUCUCUGUGGCUCCCCUUCUCAUCCGGGGAUAGGGGCAAUGACUGAGUCAAAAGGAUGGAGCACAUUCAUGUAUUCACAGAGAACUCAGUGUAGUGCCUGGCACAAUGCAUUAUGACUUCAUGAUUACUCUCAAUUGCUAGAGACUUAAGAUUAGUUAAGUUUUAAUAGAUGGUUAUCCUUUGUGGGCCAGGAGUGGAGAAAUGCCUUUGUUCAAUAACUUGGAAGAAAGAGAAGUGGAUCUGAAGGGGAUGGGAUUCAACACCCACUCCCACAAACUGUGAGACUGAAGGCAGAAUUAGGACACUGAAGAUCAAGUUCUACUCCCAAGAUCAUUCAGGCAACAUUUCCGGUGCUAAGCAAGCCUUGGGGAGAACUGCCUAAAUCAGAAAGCAAGGAUGUUUAACUUUCUAGAGCUUCUGGUUUAAAAAGAAGACAAGCUAAGGAAUUCCGUGGUGGUCCACUGGUUAGGGUUUCAAGCUUUCACUGCUGUGGGCCCAGGUUUGAUCUCUGGUCGGGCAACUAAGAUCCCACAAGCUGUGCGACAUGGGUGAUCUAGCGACAAGAAAGUGUGGUUCCUUCCCCUCAAGAUGCUGACAGUCUCAGAGAGGAUAUAGAAAUAAGAUAGAAAACUAUACGACUCCCACCUCCAACCUAGAAGAGGAGCCCAUCCCUACCAGCAGACUUGUCUGAAGAAGGUGGUCUGGGACAGUUUGUGGAGGAGGUAACCCUGGCUCGUCAAUUUCAGGCCCUAUAGCCUUGCCUUCAAAGGGCUUCAGGAUCUUUGUCUCCUGACAAGUCAAACUUACUUCCGGUAUCCAUCCAUGCUCUCCUGUCUGACUUUGCUCAAGAUUGCAGAGUACAUGGGAGCAAGGAAAGCACUUGUGUUCCUCACCACAGCGUCCCCAGAGACCAGCGCCCUGGCAUUUAGCUGUGCUCAGUGCUUAAGUGAAUAAGUGUGGUUUUUGCCAGCUCAAAGCCUGAGCGGCUUUGAAGACCCAGGUCAGGCUUGGCCUUUGUCUAGCUAUCCCAACAGCAGGGAGUGACUACCACCUACAGGAAGGUCCUACAUUCUUCCUGAGCUCUUCCAGGCUUGGAAGCCUUGUUGGCAGCCACGAGGUCUGGAAUCACACGCUGGUGCUGCCUGCCUCAGACACGACCUUUCACAUAUGAGUCAGAAGUUGUUAAUCAUGUCAAUGAUUCAUCAUUUGUGAUUUGGCUCCAAUGCUCCCAGAAUUCCUCUGUAUGGUAUUCCAAGGAAACAUUAAGCC
ensembl:lncRNA